UAAUCUUUAUUUGCUGGAAAAUGACAAUCAGUCAAAUUUGUGUGUUUAGCACACCUGACACAUCCCUAAACCGGAAAUUUAAAGCAGAACGUGCACCACUCGCAGGUUAUUGUAGCAUAUGUAAGCACACUGCCAUAUGCAUAAUUUAUUUUUGCACUGUUAAUCAAUUUUACAUUUUCACUUCAAUGUAAGGAAGAUACUGUACUACAGAUAUUUAAAUCUUUUUUUUGUAUCUACUCCACUUUUUCACUGCCUGACCAUCAUCUUAAUGUUUAUGCAGUUCAAUGUUUUUAUUAUUUUUUAUAUCUAAAGCACCUUGUUCAGUAAGUAUUUAGAUGUUUCUCAUAUCUGUCAUUGUCUAAGCAUGAUCUGUUUCUGUUGUUCUGAUGAAGGAAACUUGUGUUGGGGAGGAUUCAGUGUCUGUUGAGGCCCAUGUGAAUGUGCUACAAAGUGAGUAUCAGAAAACACCUCCAGACACCUGGACUGUCAAAGACCACACGGCAGGAACAUUCUCCUGGAGACGCUGAGAAAGCACGGAAGGAAUGUCUGUGGAGGAUGUACUCAAACACACUCAUACUUAAGAACACCUGCUGGAGGGGACCCUGCUACACCCUUUCCUACCAUACAGCUGAUGGAUACUGACUGUAAAAUGGCAAUCAUAGGAGGAGGGCUCAGUGUGGUGACAGAAGAUGGAAUAGACGUGUGCCAGUGCACCAGCCUUGAUGAAGCCUUCAUAACAGCCUUCUGUAUCAUUGACUGGAAAUCUGUCAGUCCAGAUGUGAGGAAGACCUACAGAGUGAGUUUGAGCUCAGCAGGUGUGAUGGCUGUGGAUGCAUCUACAGAAACACCACUGGAUACUGUAGCCAUGGAAAGAAGGGGGUCUUCACAGCUUUCUAUUCAGAAUUGUUGGAUUCUGUUCUAUGGACUGCUACUACAGAAUGAAUGAAUGAGUGGUUUAUCUAUCUAUCUAUCUGUCUAUCUAUCUAUAAUUUUUUUUUUUUACUUGAAUUGGCGACUGAAACUGAAAGCUAAAUAAAUGUUUUAGUGGAUAAAGCUGUGUCUGUUUG
ensembl:lncRNA